rnacentral:rRNA from 1 species
AACGAACGCUGGCGGCAGGCUUAACACAUGCAAGUCGAACGGUCUCUUCGGAGGCAGUGGCAGACGGGUGAGUAACGCGUGGGAAUCUACCUAGUUCUACGGAACAACAGAGGGAAACUUCUGCUAAUACCGUAUACGCCCUACGGGGAAAGAUUAUCGGAAUUGGAUGAGCCCGCGUAAGAUUAGCUAGUUGGUGGGGUAAUGGCCUACCAAGGCGACGAUCUUUAGCUGGUCUGAGAGGAUGAUCAGCCACACUGGGACUGAGACACGGCCCAGACUCCUACGGGAGGCAGCAGUGGGGAAUAUUGGACAAUGGGCGCAAGCCUGAUCCAGCCAUGCCGCGUGAGUGAUGAAGGCCUUAGGGUUGUAAAGCUCUUUCAGUGGGGACGAUAAUGACGGUACCCACAGAAGAAGCCCCGGCUAACUUCGUG